rnacentral:tRNA from 1 species
GGAGAGGUGGCCGAGCGGCUGAAGGCGCUCCCCUGCUAAGGGAGUAUGCGAGAGAUCGUAUCGAGGGUUCGAAUCCCUUCCUCUCCUCCA